UUAACUUGUUGAUCAUAAACUUUGCUCUCAGAAAAAGUAUACUGGAAAUGCCCUGAUUGGGGGUUAUAAUUAAAAAUGAAAACAAAACAGCCUUUCUUAAAAAAAUAAAAUUCUUAACUAAGACUUGGAUAGCUGAUGAUGAAAAUGAAAACACUGGCAUGUGAAGAUACAGGGAAGGUUGGAAUUUGGAUAUUACUGACCGUCUGG
rfam:Otolemur garnettii contig000688, whole genome shotgun sequence.